ensembl:rRNA 5S_rRNA 5S ribosomal RNA
GUAUAGUACCAUACCACCCUGAAUGUGCCCAGUCUUGUCUGACCUUGGAAGCUAAGCAGUGUCGGGCCUGCUUAGUACUUGGAUAGGAGUCAAACUCUGAAACGUAGUUUCUUCC